UACGGAGGGUGCGAGCGUUGUCCGGAAUCACUGGGCGUAAAGGGAGCGUAGGCGGAUGUUUAAGUUGGAUGUUUAAAACCGGGGCCUAACCUCGGAGCGGCAUCCAAAACUGGGACAUCUUGAAUAGGUCAGAGGCUGGUGGAAUUGGAGGUGUAGCGGUGGAAUGCGUAGAGAUCUCCAAGAACACCUAUUGCGAAGGCAGCCAGCUGGGACCAUAUUGACGCUGAGGCUCGAAAGCAUGGGGAGCAAACAGG
rnacentral:rRNA from 1 species